AACGAACGCUGGCGGCAUGCCUAACACAUGCAAGUCGAACGAUACCUUCGGGUCUAGUGGCGCACGGGUGCGUAACGCGUGGGAACCUGCCCUUAGGUUCGGAAUAACUUCCCGAAAGGGGUUCUAAUACCGGAUAAUGUCUUCGGACCAAAUAUUUAUCGCCUUUGGAUGGGCCCGCGUUGGAUUAGAUAGUUGGUAGGGUAAAAGCCUACCAAGGCGACGAUCCAUAGCUGGUCUGAGAGGAUGAUCCGCCACACUGGGACUGAGACACGGCCCAGACUACUACGGGAGGCAGCAGUGGGGAAUGUUGGCAAGUGGGCGAAAGGCUGAUCCAGCAAUGCCGGGUGAGUGAUGAAGGCCUGAGGGUAGUAAAGCUAUUUUACCCGGGAUGAUAAUGACAGUACCGGGAGAAUAAGCUCCGGCUAACUCCGUG
rnacentral:rRNA from 1 species